rnacentral:ncRNA from 1 species
CAAAGGCUUGGUCCUGACUUUAUUAUCAGCUGCAGCUAAAUUUACACAUGCAAGUAUCCGCACCCCCGUGAAAAUGCCCUACAGUUCUCUGCCCGAGAACAAGGAGCUGGCAUCAGGCACAGCCCCGCUAGCCCAAGACGCCUUGCUUAGCCACACCCCCAAGGGAGCCCAGCAGUGAUAAACAUUAAGCAAUAAGUGAAAACUUGACUUAGUUAAAGCUAAAAGAGCCGGUAAAACUCGUGCCAGCCACCGCGGUUAUACGAGAGGCCCAAGUUGAUAUCUGACGGCGUAAAGAGUGGUUAAAAAAGCUACAAACUAAAGCCGAAUACUUUCUAAGCUGUUAUACGCACUUGAAAGCAUGAAGUUCAACCACGAAAGUGGCUUUAUGACACUUGAACCCACGAAAGCUAAGAAACAAACUGGGAUUAGAUACCCCACUAUGCUUAGCCCUAAACAUUAAUAGCACCCCACACAGCUAUUCGCCAGGGAACUACGAGCAUGAGCUCAAAACCCAAAGGACUUGGCGGUGCUUAAGAUCCACCUAGAGGAGCCUGUUCUAGAACCGAUACCCCCCGUUCAACCUCACCCUCUCUUGAUCCUUCCGCCUAUAUACCGCCGUCGUCAGCUUACCCUGUGAAGGAACCAUAAUAAGCAAAACUGGCACAGCCCCAAACGUCAGGUCGAGGUGCAGCGUAUGAGAGGGGAAGAAAUGGGCUACAUUGACUACUUUAGUGAAUACGAAUGAUGCGCUGAAACGCACAUCCGAAGGAGGAUUUAGCAGUAAGCAGAGAAUAGAGCGCUCCGCUGAAAUAGGCUCUAAAGCGCGCACACACCGCCCGUCAUUCUCCCCUGCCUAAUUUUUAGCAUAUAACUAAUACACUUUCAUUCAUUAAGGGGAGGCAAGUCGUAACAUGGUAAGUGUACCGGAAGGUGUACUUGGACAAAU